AGGCCAGACUCCUACGGGAGGCAGCAGUGAGGAAUAUUGGUCAAUGGGCGAGAGCCUGAACCAGCCAAGUCGCGUGAAGGAUGACGGCCCUACGGGUUGUAAACUUCUUUUGUCAGGGAGCAAUUGGGUCCACGCGUGGGCUUAGCGAGAGUACCUGAAGAAAAAGCAUCGGCUAACUACGUGCCAGCAGCCGCGGUAAUACGUAGGGGGCAAGCGUUAUCCGGAUUUACUGGGUGUAAAGGGAGCGUAGACGGCAGCACAAGUCUGGAGUGAAAUGCCGGGGCUUAACCCCGGAACUGCUUUGGAAACUGUGCAGCUAGAGUGCAGGAGAGGUAAGUGGAAUUCCUAGUGUAGCGGUGAAAUGCGUAGAUAUUAGGAGGAACACCAGUGGCGAAGGCGACUUUCUGGACUGUACCUGACGCUGAGGCGCGAAAGCGUGGGUAGCGAACGGGAUUAGAUACCCUCGUA
rnacentral:rRNA from 1 species